CGCCAGGAUACGGUAGCUGGGCUCUCUCUUGUGACGAACGAAGAUGAGAUCAGCAGAUGAUCCCAUUUUAAAAUGGAGUGUCUUUUUUUUUCCUUUUCCGUUUGCUACUCGAUGCAUGAGUACCGUACAUGGGAUCUUCCCUGUAUCUUAACCCUCUUUAAUUCUCUCGUACCCAGACACAGACACGCCUCUCCUUAAACUCUGACGAUUCGCUUUAGGGUGUACAGCAGCAGGGGAGCUUAAAAAUCGAUUUAGACACUUGUACAUUUUUAUAUCUACAGUACAUCAUAAUUUUGUAAAAUCAAGUUGCGGA
rnacentral:lncRNA from 1 species